GACGAACGCUGGCGGCGUGCUUAACACAUGCAAGUCGAACGGAAAGGCCCUGCUUGCCGGGUACUCGAGUGGCGAACGGGUGAGUAACACGUGGGUGAUCUGCCCUGCACUUCGGGAUAAGCCUGGGAAACUGGGUCUAAUACCGGAUAGGAGCCAUUUUUAGUGUGAUGGUUGGAAAGUUUUUUCGGUGUAGGAUGAGCUCGCGGCCUAUCAGCUUGUUGGUGGGGUAAUGGCCUACCAAGGCGGCGACGGGUAGCCGGCCUGAGAGGGUGGACGGCCACAUUGGGACUGAGAUACGGCCCAGACUCCUACGGGAGGCAGCAGUGGGGAAUAUUGCACAAUGGGCGCAAGCCUGAUGCAGCGACGCCGCGUGGGGGAUGACGGCCUUCGGGUUGUAAACUCCUUUCGCUAGGGACGAAGCUUUUUGUGACGGUACCUAGAUAAGAAGCACCGGCUAACUACG
rnacentral:rRNA from 1 species